CAGAAAAACAAUUGCUGCACAAAGGCCCCACACCUCAACAGUUUCAGGCCGUGCUGUGUUCCCUGCUGCUCAGCCAAGUGGAAAAUGUCUCUCAAGACUGG